AUGGCUCAAGAGUCGCUCAAAUUGUAUUUUCAUUUUUCGAUGAUUAAGGUCCUAAAUCGUCUUUUAAAAGGGAUCAGAUAGUUAUUAAUUAAUUUUUACUCUUGAAUCUUGAUGCAGAUUAAGAGCAUGCAAUACCAUAUUCAACAUGAAAGUAUUACUCUAAACGAGGAGAAACAAAUCAUCAGAGAAAUAAAACAACUUGAAGGGACGAGGGAUAAGGUUAUCGCAAACGCUGCUAUGAGGGCUGAAGUUCAAAAAUUUGUUGGUGAAAAGAUGCCAUUCAAGACCAGGUCAAAUCUAUUGGCGUUGAUCUUGACGGGGUCCGCAAGGAUCAACAAGCUAUCAAGGCCAAACUUAAGACA